rnacentral:snoRNA from 1 species
AGUUUGCCAUGAUGAAAUGCAUGUUAAGUCCGUGUUUCAGCUGAUUACCCUGAUUAGACACAUGCGCUGAGCAGACU